UGGUGCCAGCAGCCGCGGUAAUUCCAGCUCCAAUAGCGUAUAUUAAAGUUGUUGCAGUUAAAAAGCUCGUAGUUGAAUUUCGGGAUCAAUAUUUCGGUCAUGCCGUUGGUAUGCACUGUUAUCAUUGAUUUCUCACCUUCUAAAGAACCGUAAUGCCAUUAAUUUGGUGUUACGGGGAAUUAGGACUGUUACCUUGAAAAAAUUAGAGUGUUUAAAGCAGGCUCACGCUUGAAUACAUUAGCAUGGAAUAAUGAAAUAGGACAUCCGAUUCUAUUUUGUUGGUUUCUAGGAUCGAUGUAAUGAUUAAUAGGGAUAGUUGGGGGCAUUAGUAUUCAAUUGUCAGAGGUGAAAUUCUUGGAUUUAUUGAAGACUAACUACUGCGAAAGCAUUUGCCAAGGAUGUUUUCAUUAAUCAAGAACGAAAGUUAGGGGAUCGAAGACGAUCAGAUACCGUCGUAGUCUUAACCAUAAACUAUGCCGACUAGGGAUCGGAUGAUGUUAAUUUUUUAAUGACUCA
rnacentral:rRNA from 1 species